rnacentral:rRNA from 1 species
CCUACGGGUGGCAGCAGUGAGGAAUAUUGGUCAAUGGACGAGAGUCUGAACCAGCCAAGCAGCGUGAAGGAUGACUGCCCUAUGGGUUGUAAACUUCUUUUAUAUGGGAAUAAAAUGUUCCACGUGUGGGAUUUUGUAUGUACCAUAUGAAUAAGGAUCGGCUAACUCCGUGCCAGCAGCCGCGGUAAUACGGAGGAUCCGAGCGUUAUCCGGAUUUAUUGGGUGUAAAGGGAGCGUAGGUGGAUUGUUAAGUCAGUUGUGAAAGUUUGCGGCUCAACCGUAAAAUUGCAGUUGAAACUGGCAGUCUUGAGUACAGUAGAGGUGGGCGGAAUUCGUGGUGUAGCGGUGAAAUGCUUAGAUAUCACGAGGAACUCCGAUUGCGAAGGCAGUUCACUGGACUGCAACUGACACUGAGGCUCGAAAGUGUGGGUAUCAAACAGGAUUAGAUACCCCGGUAGUC